rnacentral:lncRNA from 1 species
CCCUUGGGUGGUGGCAGAAUCAAGUUGCUAGCAGCAGGCAAUCACUCGUGAGCUUUCUUCCUCUGUAGGUGCCUGGCCCAUUUAGUUACACACUGCAAAUCAAAACCUGCCACAACAGAAUCAAGAGAAAUGCUGACACUCCAAUCCUCUGGUACAGGACAGAGGAAAGUGGCAGUACAUAUGGGAUUAUUAGAAAAUAUAAGUCUAAAAAUAUCUAAAGAAGUUGGAGGUCUAUAUGAUACAAGGAUGGCUCAACAAGGGCAGCUAUUAAAGUUGUUGGUGGGUACAGUGAGAAAGUGGGACCAUUCAUUUUUUAUGGAUCUGUGAAAUUUUAUAUACUUAGAAUUUAAAACUUAAAAGAUAUCCUAACUACAAAACUUUUAUAAUAGACAGGCUAUCAGCUCAUGUCUGAACAGAAGAUCUAUUAUCAAAUAAUAUAACUUCAGCAAAUGCAUUAAUAUAGUAUAUAUAUAUAUGUAUGUGUAUAUAUAUAUAUAUAUAUAUUAAUAUAUAUGAAUGUCUUUUCAAGACAGGGUUUCUCUGUGUAGCCCUGGCUGUCCUGGAACUUACUCUAUAGACCAGGCUGGUCUUGAACUCAGAACUGUGUCUUUCUUCUCAGUGUUGAGAUUACAGGUAUAUGUCACCAUACUCAACAAUGAUUUAUGUAUUUGUCGGAAAUGUUUUAAACAAGAAGAUUCUAGAGCUCCUAAAUGAAUGAUAACAAUCAAAGGAUGCUCCAGGCACAGGGGUGUCAGGCACAGGGUUGUCAGGCAUAGGGGUGUCAGGCACAGGGGUGUCAGCAGGGUCUCUGGGGCCCUUAAAAACCCUGGCUGGGCAGGGACUGUGGGGCUAAUAAUGAACUUCUGAUAUACUCCACUGUGUUUCUUUCGGAUUUACAUAGAUAUUUCUAACCAUCUCCCAAAGCUUCUGACAUAUUGUGCAUAUCUCCAGGUUACAAAUGAUUGUUCAAAAAGAGGGCAUAAUUUUGAGUUGAAUUUUGAGAAACUUGUGUGAAAUAGUUUGUCUUUAAAACCAAGGCAGUGGGGUUGGGGAUUUAGUUCAGUGGUAAAGCACUUGCCUAGCAAGCAGAAGGCCCUGGGUUCUAUCCUCAGCUAUGGGAACAAACAAACAAACAAACAAACCUAAAUACAUAAAUAAA